rnacentral:rRNA from 1 species
UGAUUCCUACGGGAGGCAGCAGUGGGGAAUUUUCCGCAAUGGGCGAAAGCCUGACGGAGCAACGCCGCGUGCGGGAGGAAGGCCUGUGGGUUGUAAACCGCUUUUGACAGGGAAGAAGAUCUGACGGUACCUGUCGAAUCAGCCUCGGCUAACUCCGUGCCAGCAGCCGCGGUAAGACGGAGGAGGCAAGCGUUAUCCGGAAUUAUUGGGCGUAAAGCGUCCGCAGGUGGCGAUUCAAGUCUGCUGUCAAAGGCCAGGGCUUAACUCUGGAGCGGCAGUGGAAACUGGAUAGCUAGAGUGCGGUAGGGGCAGAGGGAAUUCCCAGUGUAGCGGUGAAAUGCGUAGAUAUUGGGAAGAACACCGGUGGCGAAAGCGCUCUGCUGGGCCGCAACUGACACUCAUGGACGAAAGCUAGGGGAGCGAAAGGGAUUAGGUACCCCUGUAGUCCUAGCCGUAAACGAUGGACACUAGGCGUUGGCCGUAUCGACCCGGUCAGUGCCGUAGCUAACGCGUUAAGUAUCCCGCCUGGGGAGUACGCACGCAAGUGUGAAACUCAAAUGAAUUGACGG